rnacentral:lncRNA from 1 species
CUAACUCUCUAUGCCUUACAUUUCUCAAGUGAUUAUAGCAGUCUCUAUUAUCAAAGCCAAUAUAUUCGCCACCAAAAAUUGAAGCAACUUUAGAAAUUUAUAAAUUUUCUCUAUGAAAUAUUUCAGUCAAAUCUUUAAUAGCUUUUGGCAUGUGUUGGUUUGACUUCAUUUUCAUCCUCUUAGAUGGAGUCACUAAUUGGUGAUUAUGAGCA